UCGAAGAUGCCCAGCUGAAUGAUCUUAUUGAAGAACUCCUGACAUUGGGUUCUUCUUCAAGCUGGUCCACAAGGCAUGGAUCGGUGCUUACGAUAGCAUCAAUGCUCCGGCAUAAUCCUUCGACUGGCUGUGGAUUGCCUCAUUCCUGUCCACUGUUGACUUAAAGGCGGUUUAACUGAUGAGAAUGUGGUUUCAUUCUGCAGAACCUAAACUUACCUUUCUGAUAAUUCACUUGUACAAGUCUCUAACAUACUGUCUCUCUCUUAGUCUUCUAUUCGUGAAACCUCAACCAAAGCCUUGGGAAGACUACUCCUCCAUCAAAGUCAAACUGAUCAUAGUAACACCAGUGCGCAUUCAGAUAUUAUGUUGUUCAUUGUAUCUGCUCUGCACGAUGAUUCCAGUGAAGUUCGAAGAAGGGCAUUAUCCUCUCUAAAUAUGUUGCAAGGGUAAAUCCCACAAUAUUAUUGGCCAAUCUUUCAAUCGUUGGCCCUGCGCUUGCGGAAUGUUUAAAGGAUGCCAGUACUCCAGUGAAAGUUGAUGCAAAGAGAUGUUGUCUGCACACCUUCCAAUUGACGAAGAGUGCUUUCUGUUACCUCUCUUUACUGUUUGACAUAAUCUUUAAUGAUGCGCAUUAGUUCAAUUUGUCCUCCCUUUUUAUUUUUGAAAAAUUGAACUAGCACCACUUCUUCUAACGCGGCACUCUUCCAUACAGGUGCUGAAAAUAUUCAAGCGGCACAAAAAUACAUCACUGGUCGAGAUGCUCGAAGAAUAUCCAAGUAAUCUUAACAGAAAUAUGUCUUUUUUUAAGAGUGCGAUGAUAGUGAAGGCAGCGAAGAUGAGGGGACGAGUGACUAAAAUUUUGUUUGCUGCUCCUCUUUAUUCUAUGAUCCUGUUUAUACAAGGUUGGCAAGAUUUAUACAAGGGAGGGUAUCGCAGCCAAAUUCUGCAACACAUUGACAUCCCAAGGCUGUGGACUG